rfam:Stegodyphus mimosarum contig63151, whole genome shotgun sequence.
GCCUUCGUGGUGCAACGGUAGCGCACUCGGUGCGUAUUCCAGAGGUCCAGGUUCGAAUCCCGGCGAGGGCG